CCUACGGGGGACAGCAGUGAGGAAUAUUGGUCAAUGGACGAGAGUCUGAACCAGCCAAGUAGCGUGAAGGAUGACUGCCCUAUGGGUUGUAAACUUCUUUUAUAUGGGAAUAAAACAUGCUACGCAUACCCUCAUGUAUGUACCUUAUGAAUAAGCAUCGGCUAACUCCGUGCCAGCAGCCGCGGUAAUACGGAAGAUCCGAGCGUUAUCCGGAUUUCUUGGGUUUAAAGGGUGCGUAGGUUGAUUGUUAAGUCAGUUGGGAAAGUGUGCGGCUCAACCCUAAAAUUGCAUUUGAAACUGGCAGUCGUGAGUACAGUAGAGGUAGGCGGAAUUAGUGGUGUAGCGGUGAAAUGCUUAGAUAUCACGAAGAACUCCGAUUGCGAAGGCAGCUUACUAGACUGCAACUGACACUGAUGCACGAGAGUGUGGGUAUCGAACAGGAUUAGAUACCCGAGUAGUC
rnacentral:rRNA from 1 species